UGUCCACUGGCCAUGGGCAAAGAGGCACCUUGUUGGUGGUGUUCUUAUAUCAGUCAGGGACAGUUCAGUUGACAGUAGUCCUUUGUUCAUCCUAGCUUAAUGCCUGGCAUGGUGGCCAAAGCUCUUUUAUAUCUAGGUUACAUAA